GCGGAUGUAGUUUAGUUGGUAAAACAUCGGCUUCCCAAGCCGAAAAGCGCGGGUUCGAGCCCCGUCAUCCGCUCCA
rnacentral:tRNA from 1 species